CCUACGGGAGGCAGCAGUGAGGAAUAUUGGUCAAUGGCCGUAAGGCUGAACCAGCCAAGUCGCGUGAAGGAAGAAGGAUCUAUGGUUUGUAAACUUCUUUUAUAGGGGAAUAAAGGUAUCCACGUGUGGAUAUUUGCAUGUACCCUAUGAAUAAGCAUCGGCUAACUCCGUGCCAGCAGCCGCGGUAAUACGGAGGAUGCGAGCGUUAUCCGGAUUUAUUGGGUUUAAAGGGUGCGUAGGCGGAUUUUUAAGUCAGCGGUAAAAUGUCCGGGCUCAACCCGGGCCGGCCGUUGAAACUGGGGAUCUUGAGUGGGCGAGAAGUAUGCGGAAUGCGUGGUGUAGCGGUGAAAUGCAUAGAUAUCACGCAGAACUCCGAUUGCGAAGGCAGCAUACCGGCGCCCGACUGACGCUGAGGCACGAAAGCGUGGGGAUCGAACAGGAUUAGAUACCCCGGUAGUC
rnacentral:rRNA from 1 species